GAUGAGGUGCCAAUUUUCCCUGGCCAACUGCAACUAGAGCCCCAACCAUUCUUCGGACCUGCAAGGACAGCAUACAGCUUAGGAACUGCCCCCUGUAACAUCAAGGAGGAUGUGGCACAUAGACAUGUGCAGCGCUGAGCACGUGCACAAAUACCCACCACAUUACAGCCAGCAGUCUGCUCAGCUCUUCAGCAAUGGCUUGCUCAGUGGCAAAGCACUGAACUUACUUGUUGGUGGUCAGGCUCUCCAACCAGCAGUGGCCAACAACAGACAGCAGGAAUGCAGCCAGCAUCCCCCAGGAAGGCAGCAGGAGUUACUGGUGUGAACUGAGAGGAUAUGUGUAGCUACAGCAGUGCCCUGGGUGUUGGGUGAGUUAUUUUUCCUCCUAUUUGCAGCCUCUAGGCAAAGCUAAGACAGAGCCAGGACCGAAAAUAAAAAUCCCAUGCCCUGGCAGUGCUAAUCUUCAGCAUCACACAGGAACUGCUGUGCCAGGUUUCUGACAUCCUGCCUUACUGCACUGACAACUGGGCCAGCUUCUCGCCCUCAGCCUUGCUCAUCUUUCUCUCUGAGGUCAUUGGGAGAAGGAAAGAAAUAUCCUUCCCAGACCGUCACUGGGCAGAACCCUGCUGAGACUGUGAAGGCAAUGCAGUGAGAGGAGGUCAGUUCUCAGCACAGCACUGGAAAGCAGCUUUUCUGACAAAGCAAGCAGUAGCUGAUCAGGGCAGCUCCUCAGCUGAGUAUCCAGGCUCUCACCUGUAUUCAUAGUGGUGGGAUAGGAAACCAGAAGAGGGUUGGAUGUCUGCCUGUAGGAUGGUUUUGACUGGAGACCGA